rnacentral:rRNA from 1 species
UACGGGGGGGGUAAGCGUUGUUCGGAAUUACUGGGCGUAAAGGGCGCGUAGGCGGAAUGGCAAGUCGGUCGUGAAAUCCUUCGGCUCAACCGAAGAACGUCGAUCGAAACUGCCGUUCUUGAGGAUUGCAGAGGAGACUGGAAUUCCCGGUGUAGCGGUGAAAUGUGUAGAGAUCGGGAGGAACACCGGUGGCGAAGGCGGGUCUCUGGGCAAUUCCUGACGCUGAGGCGCGAAAGCGUGGGGAGCAAACGGG